rnacentral:rRNA from 1 species
GACGAACGCUGGCGGCGUGCUUAACACAUGCAAGUCGAACGGAAAGGCCCUGCUUUUGUGGGGUGCUCGAGUGGCGAACGGGUGAGUAACACGUGAGUAACCUGCCCUUGACUUUGGGAUAACUUCAGGAAACUGGGGCUAAUACCGGAUAGGAGCUCCUGCUGCAUGGUGGGGGUUGGAAAGUUUCGGCGGUUGGGGAUGGACUCGCGGCUUAUCAGCUUGUUGGUGGGGUAGUGGCUUACCAAGGCUUUGACGGGUAGCCGGCCUGAGAGGGUGACCGGCAACAUUGGGACUGAGAUACGGCCCAGACUCCUACGGGAGGCAGCAGUGGGGAAUAUUGCACAAUGGGCGGAAGCCUGAUGCAGAAACGCCGCGUGCGGGAUGACGGCCUUCGGGUUGUAAACCGAUUUCGACUGUGACGAAGCGUGAGUGACGGUAAUGGGUAAAGAAGCACCGGCUAACUACGUG